rnacentral:rRNA from 1 species
GACGAACCGUGCAAACGUUGUUCGGAAUCACUGGGCAUAAAGGGCGCGUAGGCGGUCGGUCAAGUCUGGGGUGAAAUCUUUCGGCUCAACCGGAAACGUGCCCCGGAUACGGGCAGACUGGAGGUAUGCAGGGGAGAACGGAAUUCCUGGUGUAGCGGUGAAAUGCGCAGAUAUCAGGAGGAACACCGGUGGCGAAGGCGGUUCUCUGGGCCGUAACUGGACGCUGGAGGAGCGAAAGCAUGGGAGCGA